GACGAACGCUGGCGGCGUGCUUAACACAUGCAAGUCGAACGAAGAGCGAUGGAAGCUUGCUUCUAUCAAUCUUAGUGGCGAACGGGUGAGUAACGCGUAAUCAACCUGCCCUUCAGAGGGGGACAACAGUUGGAAACGACUGCUAAUACCGCAUACGAUCUGACCUCGGCAUCGAGGAUAGAUGAAAGGUGGCCUCUACAUGUAAGCUAUCACUGAAGGAGGGGAUUGCGUCUGAUUAGCUAGUUGGAGGGGUAACGGCCCACCAAGGCGAUGAUCAGUAGCCGGUCUGAGAGGAUGAACGGCCACAUUGGGACUGAGACACGGCCCAGACUCCUACGGGAGGCAGCAGUGGGGAAUCUUCCGCAAUGGACGAAAGUCUGACGGAGCAACGCCGCGGGAGGGAGGACGGCCUUCGGGUUGGAAAGCUCUGUUAAUCGGGACGAAAGGCCUUUUUGCGAAUAGGGAGAAGGAUUGACGGUACCGGAAGAGAAAGCCACGGCUAACUACGUG
rnacentral:rRNA from 1 species